rnacentral:rRNA from 1 species
UACGUAGGGGGCAAGCGUUGUCCGGAAUCAUUGGGCGUAAAGAGCUCGUAGGCGGUUUGUCGCGUCUGCUGUGAAAUCCCGAGGCUCAACCUCGGGCCUGCAGUGGGUACGGGCAGACUGGAGUGCGGUAGGGGAGAAUGGAAUUCCUGGUGUAGCGGUGAAAUGCGCAGAUAUCAGGAGGAACACCGAUGGCGAAGGCAGGUCUCUGGGCAUUAACUGACGCUGAGGAGCGAAAGCAUGGGGAGCGAACAGG